rnacentral:rRNA from 1 species
GAUGAACGCUGGCGGCGUGCCUAAUACAUGCAAGUCGAGCGAACAGAUGAGGAGCUUGCUCCUCUGACGUUAGCGGCGGACGGGUGAGUAACACGUGGAUAACCUACCUAUAAGACUGGGAUAACUUCGGGAAACCGGAGCUAAUACCGGAUAAUAUAUUGAACCGCAUGGUUCAAUAGUGAAAGACGGUUUUGCUGUCACUUAUAGAUGGAUCCGCGCCGCAUUAGCUAGUUGGUAAGGUAACGGCUUACCAAGGCAACGAUGCGUAGCCGACCUGAGAGGGUGAUCGGCCACACUGGAACGGAGACACGGUCCAUACGCCUACGGGAGGCAGCAGUAGGGAAUCUGCCGCAAUGGGCGAAAGCUUGACGGAGCAACGCCGCGUGAGUGAUGAAGGUCUUCGGAGCGUAAAACUCUGUUAUUAGGGAAGAACAAAUGUGUAAGUAACUAUGCACGUCUUGACGGUACCUAAUCAGAAAGCCACGGCUAACUACGUG